rnacentral:rRNA from 1 species
ACUCCUGCGGGAGGCAGCAGUGGGGAAUUUUGGACAAUGGGCGAAAGCCUGAUCCAGCAAUGCCGCGUGAGUGAAGAAGGCCUUCGGGUUGUAAAGCUCUUUUGUCAGGGAAGAAACGGUGAAAGCUAAUAUCUUUUGCUAAUGACGGUACCUGAAGAAUAAGCACCGGCUAACUACGUGCCAGCAGCCGCGGUAAUACGUAGGGUGCAAGCGUUAAUCGGAAUUACUGGGCGUAAAGCGUGCGCAGGCGGUUUUGUAAGUCUGAUGUGAAAUCCCCGGGCUCAACCUGGGAAUUGCAUUGGAGGCUGCAAGGCUAGAAUCUGGCAGAGGAGGGUAGAAUUCCACGUGUAGCAGUGAAAUGCGUAGAUAUGUGGAGGAACACCGAUGGCGAAGGCAGCCCCCUGGGUCAAGAUUGACGCUCAUGCACGAAAACGUGGGGGGCAAACAAGAGGAGAUACCCGAGUAGUCCCAUGA